GCCCUGUACAAUUACAGUUCAAUCGCUCAGCGUUAUUUCCAGAGUGACAACUCUUGUGCUACUACAGCUGAAUUUGGGGAGGAACGCCGCAACAAGCACGAGGCGUAAAGGUCAUACAAAAAGGUGAGGCGGCUGAUAACAACGAGACCGCCGGAGAGAACGCACAGCCUGCGGUAGUCCAGCAGAGGUUUGGAGAUGGACAGAUAAAUCACUUCAAACCUGACUCAUCCCCCGUACAGACUGCAGAGCAAACAUUCUGGCUUAUUAAAAGGAAUUCGACUCAUCGUUGACCCAGAUCUGGUGUCAAACCACCGUGCGCUGGCCCGCGUCAAAGCCACCGACUGGGGACUUUAAUCAAGAUGAGUGAACGGCCUGCUGAGGGUUUCCUCCAGCUCUAAGUAAUCCUCUUCUUCCAGCCUCCGCUUAUUGAUCGGCUCAUUGAUUUCAUUUAGCGGCCACGCGGGUACCCCUUCCUUUCUGGCAUUUUAAGGCAUUACCUAAUCUGGUUAUGCUGCUUCCACAGGUGCCACAGUUGCAGUAAAAUGGCAAGAAGCAUGAGGCUAUUCUUUGUGGGAGAAGGGCUCUCCGACACGAUUUUACUCCAUUUUAGACUCCGCCCUGACUAGAUUCUCCCUCGAUCUGCAGACCAGAACAAAUAUUUCAGCCUAGAGACAACUGAAUUUCCAGGCAGUCUUUGUAAGCUGCCUUUAUACACAAGGGAAUUGGGUAUCCAUAGCUCCCUUACAGGAUUGUUCCAUUAAGUUGCAGCUGAAAAGUACACUGAUGAGUUGGGUUAAGUCUUGGUUUGUAAAUAUGAGUAAUUAAACAUGUUCUGACGCAUCAUCAUUGUUUUAGUGGUGAACAAAUAUUAAUUCAUUAAUAUUGCAAGUGGGUACUUGACAAACUGCAGAAAAGCCAGCAAAUCCGCACCUCUGAAUGUUUAUUUCAGGAAGCAAUUGUUUCCUUUAGGCCUCUCUGUUAUCUUCUAAGAUAAUAGAAGCUUUCAAAGCAUGAUUACUUCCCGUUAGCAUCAACUAAGCCGGUACAGAACAUAAAAGCUUUGUGACUAUGAGACGCAGGGGGCAUCAGGGGUAAACUCAUAGAAAACAGGUGGUGGAGUUCCUCUCGG
rnacentral:lncRNA from 1 species